CCUACGGGGGGCUGCAGUGAGGAAUAUUGGUCAAUGGGCGCAAGCCUGAACCAGCCAUCCCGCGUGCAGGAAGACGGCCCUAUGGGUUGUAAACUGCUUUUCCAGGGGGAGAAACUUGCGCACGUGUUGCGCAAUUGACGGUACCCUGGGAAUAAGCAUCGGCUAACUCCGUGCCAGCAGCCGCGGUAAUACGGAGGAUGCGAGCGUUAUCGGGAUUAAUGGGGUUUAGGCGGAGCGUAGGCUCAGUGGUGAAAUCCUGCAGCUUAACUGCAGAACUGCCAUUGAUACUGAUAGCCUUGAGUUUGGUUAAGGUAGGCGGAAUGUGUAAUGUAGCGGUGAAAUGCUUAGAUAUUACACAGAACACCAAUUGCGUAGGCAGCUUACUGAGCCGACACUGACGCUGAGGCACGAAAGCGUGGGGAUCGAACAGGAUUAGAUACCCGUGUAGUC
rnacentral:rRNA from 1 species